GCAAAAACAAUUUUCACCUGUUUAUCAAAAACAUGUCUUUUAGCAAGAAUUAAAAGUCUAAUCUGCCCAAUGAUUANAAAUUAAAUGGCCGCGGUAAAUUGACCGUGCAAAGGUAGCAUAAUAAAUAGUCUUUUAAUUGGAGGCUUGAAUGAAUGGUUGAAUGAGAAAUUAACUUAAUUAAUAUUAAUAAUUGAAAUUGAUUUUUAAGUAAAAAAGCUUAAAUAUGUGAGUGGGACGAGAAGACCCUAUAGAAUUUUUAAAAUCUUAUUAAGUUUAUUUUUUACAGUUAAUUAAUUUUAUUUACUUAAUUGAUUUUUUUGUUGGGGUGAUAUUAAAAUAUAAUUAACUUUUAAUAGAAAUUUCAUAAAUUUAUGUAAAUAUUGAUCCAAAUUUUUGAUUAUAAGAAUAAAUUACCUUAGGGAUAACAGCGUAAUUAAUUUGAAGAGUUCAUAUCGAUAAAUAUGAUUGCGACCUCGAUGUUGGAUUAAGAAUAGAGAUUGGAGCAAAAUUUAUUAUUUCUGGGUCUGUUCGACCCUUAAUAUUCUUACAUGAUCUGAGUUCAAACCGGCGUGAGCCAGGUUGGUUUCUAUCUACUCAAUUGUUUUUAAUGUUAGUACGAAAGGACCUCAUUAAAUAAUUUUAUUAU
rnacentral:rRNA from 1 species